GUGCUCGCUUGGGCAGCACAUAUACUAAAACCGGAAAGAAACAGAGAUGAGCAUGGCCCCUGUGCAAGAAUGACACGCAAAUUCGUGAAGCAUUAAAAAAAAAA